GCCCUUAGAGUUUGAUCCUGGCUCAGGAUGAACGCUGGCGGUAUGCUUUACACAUGCAAGUCGUACGAGAGUUUUUAACUCAAGUGGCGGACGGGUGAGUAACACGUAAGAAUUUGCCUUUAGGAGGGGGAUAACAACUGGAAACGGUUGCUAAUACCCCAUAUGCUUUCGAGUAAAAUGGAUUUUCCGCCUAAAGAGAAGCUUGCGGCUGAUUAGCUUGUUGGUGAGGUAAUGGCUCACCAAGGCGACGAUCAGUAUCUGGUUUGAGAGGACGAUCAGACACACUGGAACUGAGACACGGUCCAGACUCCUACGGGAGGCAGCAGUGGGGAAUUUUCCGCAAUGGGCGAAAGCCUGACGGAGCAAUACCGCGUGAGGGAUGACGGCCUAUGGGUUGUAAACCUCUUUUUUCAGGGAGGAAUCAAUGACGUGUACCUGAAGAAUAAGCAUCGGCUAACUCCGUGCCAGCAGCCGCGGUAAGACGGAGGAUGCAAGUGUUAUCCGGAAUCACUGGGCGUAAAGCGUCUGUAGGUGGUCAAAUAAGUCAACUGUUAAAUCUUGAGGCUCAACCUCAAAAUCGCAGUCGAAACUAUUCGACUAGAGUAUAGUAGGGGUAAAGGGAAUUUCCAGUGGAGCGGUGAAAUGAGUAGAGAUUGGAAAGAACACCGAUGGCGAAGGCACUUUACUGGGCUAUUACUAACACUGAGAGACGAAAGCUAGGGUAGCAAAUGGGAUUAGAUACCCCAGUAGUCCUAGCCGUAAACAAUGGAUACUAGAUGUUGAACAGAUCGACCUGUGCAGUAUCAAAGCUAACGCGUUAAGUAUCCCGCCUGGGAAGUAUGCUCGCAAGAGUGAAACUCAAAUGAAUUGACGGGGAAGGGC
rnacentral:rRNA from 1 species